AGGACGAACGCUGGCGGCGUGCUUAACACAUGCAAGUCGAGCGGAAAGGCCCUUCGGGGUACUCGAGCGGCGAACGGGUGAGUAACACGUGAGUAAUCUGCCCUUAGCUCUGGGGAUAGCUCCGGGAAACCGGGAUUAAUACCGGAUACAACCACUUUAGACAUCUCUUGUGGUGAAAGAAUUUUGGCUAGGGAUGAACUCGCGGCCUAUCAGCUUUGUUGGUGAGGUAACGGCUCACCAAGGCGACGACGGGUA
rnacentral:rRNA from 1 species